CAAAUACUCCCUCCGUCCGAAAAUACUUGUCAUCAAAAUGGAUAAAAGGAAAUGUAUCUAGACGUAUUUUAGUUUUAGAUACAUCUCUUUUUAUCCAUUUUGAUCACAAGUAUUUUCGGACGGAGGGAGUAGAAA
rnacentral:pre_miRNA from 1 species